UGAAGACAUACAAUACAUAUCUCUCCAUGCGGUUCUACUCUAUCAGUUAACAUUAUUCCCAGGCACAGCUGCGGAUUCCAGGUCCAUGCCAACACAUCCUUAAACACAGAUGAGACAAAGCAGAAGAUUCUGAGCUCACUGGAGGCUCCUUACCCAGAUAUGUCCAUAAACAACAUCUCAAUCACUCAUAUAGAGCCUGGCCCUUGCCCAAAAAUCCAACAUCAGACCAGGGAAGGUCUUUUUCUGUGGAAUCAAACUCCUGCUGAGCAGACUGCCACUCUGCAGUGUGAGGGUGAUGUCACGAAGAUGGCCCAGCGGCAGUGUGUCUUGGCCCCAGAUAAUCAUGCUCGAUGGAAAGAGCCUGAGUUGCACCAGUGCCCAGUUGUGGUCGAAACCAUCAUUCCAGACCUUGACAACAUCAACGUCACGGCUGGUUAGAAUUCAUUGCUCACUCUUCCCCCCAUCAUUUUUGCUACUACA
rnacentral:lncRNA from 1 species